GUGCUUUAGGGAUGAACAAGGUCCCCCAUAUUCAUAUCCAUCCUUUUCACUUUGUCAGCUCUGUCUUUCAUGUCUUGCUGAUCAUUGUUGGAUGGAAGAUCU